rnacentral:rRNA from 1 species
AUACGGAGGGUGCAAGCGUUACUCGGAAUCACUGGGCGUAAAGCGCGCGCAGGCGGCUUGAUAAGUUGGAUGUGAAAGCCUACGGCUCAACCGUAGAACUGCAUCCAAAACUGUCAAGCUAGAGUCUGGGAGGGGAAGAUGGAAUUAGUUGUGUAGGGGUAAAAUCCGUAGAGAUAACUAGGAAUACCAAGAGCGAAGGCGAUCUUCUGGAACAGUACUGACGCUGAGGCGCGAAAGCGUGGGGAGCAAACAGGAUUAGAAACCCCUGUAGUCC